UGGAUGAUGAAUGUGGCCGUAACUGAGCUGUGAUGAAUAGUCCCAUCCCUGAUCA
rnacentral:snoRNA from 1 species